UACGGAGGGUGCAAGCGUUAUCCGGAUUCACUGGGUUUAAAGGGUGCGUAGGUGGGAAUGUAAGUCAGUGGUGAAAUCUCCGUGCUUAACAUGGAAACUGCCAUUGAUACUAUGUUUCUUGAAUUUUCUGGAGGUAAGCGGAAUAUGUCAUGUAGCGGUGAAAUGCUUAGAUAUGACAUAGAACACCAAUUGCGAAGGCAGCUUACUACAGGGAUAUUGACACUGAGGCACGAAAGCGUGGGGAGCAAACAGG
rnacentral:rRNA from 1 species